rnacentral:rRNA from 1 species
UGGGGAAUAUUGGACAAUGGGCGAAAGCCUGAUCCAGCCAUGCCGCGUGAGUGAUGAAGGCCCUAGGGUUGUAAAGCUCUUUUGUGCGGGAAGAUAAUGACGGUACCGCAAGAAUAAGCCCCGGCUAACUUCGUGCCAGCAGCCGCGGUAAUACGAAGGGGGCUAGUGUUGCUCGGAAUCACUGGGCGUAAAGGGUGCGUAGGCGGGUUUCUAAGUCAGAGGUGAAAGCCUGGAGCUCAACUCCAGAACUGCCUUUGAUACUGGAAGCCUUGAGUUCGGGAGAGGUGAGUGGAACUGCGAGUGUAGAGGUGAAAUUCGUAGAUGCUCGCAAGAACACCAGUGGCGAAGGCGGCUCACUGGCCCGAUACUGACGCUGAGGCACGUAAGCGUGGGGAGCAAACA